CACGUAGGGGGCGAGCGUUGUCCGGAUUUAUUGGGCGUAAAGAGCUCGUAGGCGGCUCAGUAAGUCAGGUGUGAAAACUCCAGGCUCAACCUGGAGACGCCACCUGAUACUGCUGUGGCUAGAGUCCGGUAGGGGAGCAUGGAAUUCCUGGUGUAGCGGUGAAAUGCGCAGAUAUUCGCAAGAACACCAGUGGCGAAGGCGGCUCACUGGCCCGGUACUGGACGCUGAGG
rnacentral:rRNA from 1 species